rnacentral:rRNA from 1 species
AUUGAACGCUGGCGGCAGGCCUAACACAUGCAAGUCGAGCGAGCGGCGGACGGGUGAGUAAUGUCUGGGAAACUGCCCGAUGGAGGGGGAUAACUACUGGAAACGGUAGCUAAUACCGCAUACCAUCGGAUGUGCCCAGAUGGGAUUAGCGAGUGGGUGGGGUAAAGGAUCACCUAGGCGACGAUCCCUAGCGGGUCUGAGAGGAUGACCAGCCACACUGGAACUGAGACACGGUCCAGACUCCUACGGGAGGCAGCAGUGGGGAAUAUUGCACAAUGGGCGAAAGCCUGAUCCAGCCAUGCCGCGUGUAUGAAGAAGGCCUUCGGGUUGUAAAGUACUUUCGGCGGGGAGGCGUUACCCGCAGAAGAAGCACCGGCUAACUCCGUGCCAGCAGCCGCGGUAAUAC